rnacentral:misc_RNA from 1 species
GAUGAAGAACGCAGCGAAAUGCGAUAGGUAGUGUGAAUUGCAGAUGUAACGUGAAUCAUCGAAGCUUUGAACGGAAAUUGCUCUCUCUGGUAUUCCGGGGAGUAUGCCUGUUUGAGGGUCGCCAAAUCAACAUCGAAAUUCAUUUGCUUUUUGUAAAUGUUUAUCGGAUUUGAGCCGUCUUUUUUUAUUUUAAUUAAAGUGGCUUAAAAUGUAUUUUUUUGGUAUCGAAAAACGUUAUUUUACGAUCAAAUUGAUUAAAAAAACAAACGUUUUCGAAUGCCGCCUUUUUAAUGUAAUACGUUUGACUGUGAUGGUUAAUCAUAGUUUCAUUCGUAUACGAUUUUUUAAUUUUUGACCUCAAAUCAGGUAAGAACACCCGCUGAACUUAAGCAUAUCAAUAAGCGGAGGA